GACGAACGCUGGCGGUAUGCCUAAUACAUGCAAGUCGAACGCUGAAACACUCUGCUUGCAGAGUGUGGAUGAGUGGCGAACGGGUGAGUAACACGUGGGGAACCUGCCCAUAAGAGGGGGAUAACAUCCGGAAACGGGUGCUAAUACCGCAUAGGUGAUCAUAGCGCAUGCUUAGAUCAUUAAAGAUGGCUUCGGCUAUCGCUUAUGGAUGGCCCCGCGGCGUAUUAGCUAGUUGGUGAGGUAAUGGCUCACCAAGGCUGUGAUACGUAGCCGACCUGAGAGGGUGAUCGGCCACACUGGAACUGAGACACGGUCCAGACUCCUACGGGAGGCAGCAGUAGGGAAUCUUCCACAAUGGGCGAAAGCCUGAUGGAGCAAUACCGCGUGAGUGAAGAAGGUCUUCGGAUCGUAAAGCUCUGUUGUUAGAGAAGAACAAGAGGUGUAGUAACUGGCACCUCCUUGACGGUAUCUAACCAGAAAGUCACGGCUAACUACGUGCCAGCAGCCGCGGUAAUACGUAGGUGACAAGCGUUGUCCGGAUUUAUUGGGCGUAAAGCGAGCGCAGGCGGUCUUUUAAGUCUGAUGUGAAAGCCCACGGCUCAACCGUGGAGGGUCAUUGGAAACUGGAAGACUUGAAUGCAGAAGAGGAAAGUGGAAUUCCAUGUGUAGCGGUGAAAUGCGUAGAUAUAUGGAGGAACACCAGUGGCGAAGGCGACUUUCUGGUCUGUAAUUGACGCUGAGGCUCGAAAGCGUGGGGAGCGAACAGGAUUAGAUACCCUGGUAGUCCACGCCGUAAACGAUGAGUGCUAAGUGUUGGAGGGUUUCCGCCCUUCAGUGCUGGAGCUAACGCAUUAAGCACUCCGCCUGGGGAGUACGGCC
rnacentral:rRNA from 1 species